rnacentral:rRNA from 1 species
UUGUUCGCAAUGGGCGCAAGCCUGACGACGCAACGCCGCGUGGAGGAUGAAGGUCUUCGGAUUGUAAACUCCUGUUGAUGGGGACGAAUGGGCUCCGACCUAAUACGUCGGGGCAAUGACGGUACCCGUUGAGGAAGCCACGGCUAACUCUGUGCCAGCAGCCGCGGUAAUACAGAGGUGGCAAGCGUUGUUCGGAAUUACUGGGCGUAAAGGGCGCGUAGGUGGUGUUGUCAGUCAGGCGUGAAAUCCCCAGGCUUAACUUGGGAACUGCGUCUGAUACUACAAGACUUGAGUUCGGGAGAGGGAUGUGGAAUUCCAGGUGUAGCGGUGAAAUGCGUAGAUAUCUGGAGGAACACCGGUGGCGAAGGCGGCAUCCUGGACCGAAACUGACACUGAGGCGCGAAAGCUAGGGGAGCAAAC